AUUGAACGCUGGCGGCAUGCCUUACACAUGCAAGUCGAACGGCAGCGGGGGAGAAGCUUGCUUUUCCUGCCGGCGAGUGGCGAACGGGUGAGUAAUACAUCGGAACGUGCCCUGUAGUGGGGGAUAACUAGUCGAAAGAUUAGCUAAUACCGCAUACGACCUGAGGGUGAAAGUGGGGGACCGCAAGGCCUCAUGCUAUAGGAGCGGCCGAUGUCGGAUUAGCUAGUUGGUGGGGUAAAGGCCUACCAAGGCGACGAUCAGUAGCUGGUCUGAGAGGCAGAUCAACCACAGUGAGACGGAGACAAGGCCCAGAGUCCAGUGGGGGGCAGCAGUGGGGAAUUUUGGACAAUGGGCGAAAGCCUGAUUGAGCAAUGCCGCGUGUGUGAAGAAGGCCUUCGGGUUGUAACGCACUUUUGUCCGGAAAGAAAUGGCUCUGGUUAAUACCUGGGGUCGAUGACGGUACCGGAAGAAUAAGGACCGGCUAACUACGUGCCAGCCGCCGCCGUAA
rnacentral:rRNA from 1 species